CUCCCAUCCCGUGGGAUGAGAGGCGCUUGUUUUACUUCGCGACGAAGCCUGCUUCAGUCAUGAGCGACUUGUUCAGGGCAUCGUCCUCUUCAAGGAAUUUGAGCACGUCCUUGCCGUUGAGAUAGACGGGCUUCAGCGCCUGCUUCUCCAUGUAUUCCUUGUAUUCGGUAGUCUGCGUCACCUUCUUGAACAGAUCGUCGUAGAAGGCGACCUGCUCGGGCGUCACCUUGCCGGGAAGGAACAUCGCGCGCAGCAUCAGGUAC
rnacentral:misc_RNA from 1 species